GUGCGUUUGGGGGAAGGGUUGAUUUAGGGAAGGGUUAGUGUUAAGAUAAAACUAGUGUUAAGUUAAACCUAGUUUUAUCAUAACCCUUGUUUGGGGGAAGGGUUUAAAAAGGUAGUUUUAUGAUAAUAUGUGUUUGGGGGAAGGGUUAGGUGGGAAGAGUUAAUGGGGAUUUUAUGAUAAAAUGUGUUUGGGGGAAGGGUUAGGUGGGUAGUUUUAUGGGAAUUUUAUGAUAAAAUGUGUUUGGGGGAAGGGUUAAGUGGGUAGGUUUAUGUGGAUUUUGUGAUAAAUUUUAUUUGGGAAAAUUGUUAAAUGGGGUGGGUUAAUUAAUUUUUUAUGUUGUAUAAUAUUUUUAAAUUCAAUUGUAAAUAUCAUAAAAAAAUUAUUGCAUAUUUUUUUACGAAA